rnacentral:rRNA from 1 species
UACGAAGGGGGCUAGCGUUGCUCGGAAUCACUGGGCGUAAAGCGCACGUAGGCGGAUUGCUAAGUCAGGGGUGAAAUCCUGGAGCUCAACUCCAGAACUGCCUUUGAUACUGUAGAGCUUGAGUUCGGGAGAGGUGAGUGGAACUGCGAGUGUAGAGGUGAAAUUCGUAGAUAUUCGCAAGAACACCAGUGGCGAAGGCGGCUCACUGGCCCGAUACUGACGCUGAGGUGCGAAAGCGUGGGGAGCAAACAGG